rnacentral:rRNA from 1 species
UACGUAGGGUGCAAGCGUUGUCCGGAAUUAUUGGGCGUAAAGGGCUCGUAGGCGGUCCGUCACGUCGGCUGUGAAAACCCAGGGCUCAACCUCGGGCUUGCAGUGGGUACGGGCAGACUAGAGUGCGGUAGGGGAGACUGGAAUUCCGUGGUGUAGCGGUGGAAUGCGCAGAGUAUCAGGAGGAACACCGAUGGCGAAGGCAGGUCUCUGGGCCGCGAACUGAUGCUGAGGAGCGAAAGCAUGGGGAGCGAAC